rnacentral:rRNA from 1 species
GACGAACGCUGGCGGCGUGCUUAACACAUGCAAGUCGAACGGAAAGGCCCUGCUUUUGUGGGGUGCUCGAGUGGCGAACGGGUGAGUAACACGUGAGUAACCUGCCCUUGACUUUGGGAUAACUUCAGGAAACUGGGGCUAAUACCGGAUAGGAGCUCCUGCUGCAUGGUGGGGGUUGGAAAGUUUCGGCGGUUGGGGAUGGACUCGCGGCUUAUCAGCUUGUUGGUGGGGUAGUGGCUUACCAAGGCUUUGACGGGUAGCCGGCCUGAGAGGGUGACCGGCCACAUGGGGACGGGGAUACGGCCUGGACCCCUACGGGGGGCAGCAGGGGGGAAUAUUGAACAAGGGGCGGAAGCCUGAGGCAGAAAGGCGGGGGGGGGGAUGAGGGCCUUCGGGUUGAAAACGGCUUUCGCCUGGGACGAAGCGUGGGUGACGGUAAUGGGUAAAGAAGCACCGGCUAACUACGU